CCUACGGGGAGCAGCAGUGAGGAAUAUUGGUCAAUGGACGAGAGUCUGAACCAGCCAAGUAGCGUGAAGGAUGACUGCCCUAUGGGUUGUAAACUUCUUUUAUAUGGGAAUAAAAUGUUCCACGUGUGGGAUUUUGCAUGUACCAUAUGAAUAAGGAUCGGCUAACUCCGUGCCAGCAGCCGCGGUAAUACGGAGGAUCCGAGCGUUAUCCGGAUUUAUUGGGUUUAAAGGGAGCGUAGGUGGAUUGUUAAGUCAGUUGUGAAAGUUUGCGGCUCAACCGUAAAAUUGCAGUUGAAACUGGCAGUCGUGAGUACAGUAGAGGUGGGCGGAAUUCGUGGUGUAGCGGUGAAAUGCUUAGAUAUCACGAAGAACUCCGAUUGCGAAGGCAGCUCACUGGACUGCAACUGACACUGAGGCUCGAAAGUGUGGGUAUCAAACAGGAUUAGAUACCCUGGUAGUC
rnacentral:rRNA from 1 species